rnacentral:misc_RNA from 1 species
AGGACUACUAGGGUUUCUAAUCCUGUUCGCUACCCACGCUUUCGCUCCUCAGCGUCAGUUCCGGCCCAGAGUGCCGCCUUCGCCACUGGUGUUCCUCCCGAUAUCUGCGCAUUUCACCGCUACACCGGGAAUUCCACACUCCCCUACCGGACUCAAGUCACAGCAGUAUCGGGUGGCGUCUCUGAGUUGAGCCCAGAGUUUUCACACCCGACUUACCGAACCGCCUACGAGCUCUUUACGCCCAAUAAAUCCGGACAACGCUUGCCCCCUACGUGUUACCGCGGCGGCUGGCAC